GUCUUUUUGCCACUUCUAGGGCCGCUCCUGUGACAUAUGGAGGUUCCCAGGCUAGGGGUCGAACUGGAGCUGUAGCUGCCAGCCUAUGCCAGAGCCACACCAAUGGAGGAUCUGAGCCGUGUCUGCAACCUACACCACAGCCCACUGAGCAAGGCCAGGGAUCGAACUCACAACCUCAUGGUUCCUAGUUGGAUUCAUUAACCACUGAGCCACGAAGGGAACUCCGAAUUAGUUCUAUUCUUCAAUGGGCAAACUUGUUUGGAGGAAUCAAGUCAAAGGAAAUAAUCCAAAAAGAAAACAAAGGUCAUUGUCUAAAGAUGUUCCCAGCAACACUAUUUUUCAUAAUGACAAAACCGCCCAAGUCUAAUUGGCCAACUCUGGACAAAUGAGAUAUGACCCAUGCCCUCAAGGUGUUCCCAUAGGAAGGAGAGAUAAAUAGACAUAUUGACAGUACAGGGAAGUAGUGGCUGUGCCUGGAGAGACAACUAAAGGGUUGGGGGUGAGAGUUAGUGAUAAGAAAGCUCAGCUGGGGAGAAGCAGGGAAGGCACCCUGGAAAAGGUGCUGUUUAAGCUGGGAGGUAGGACUAGGCCCUAGAGAGAAAGAGAAGGUGAGAAAGUGUACUCUACACAGGGAGAUUUGUUCAUACCUUGUGCAAAGGCAAGGAGCCUGCACAAUCCCAACUAUACACAGUGAGCUGUGAGUGAUCCAGUGUGUCAGGGCUUUUCAGCCUUCCCCCUGCUAUAAAACACAUAAACAGGGCAUUACACUACCACAGGCAUUCCAGACUUUAGAGAAAACCAAAAAUUUAGCCAGUAAUUAAAAUACUACAAUCACUUGUAUUCAUCACAACUUCUAAUGGUAUGUGAGCAACAGGAGCUCAUUACAGGCUGGGGCACAGGUAAGACAGGAGGCCAGUGAUGUGAAAUCUUAGGUGUGACUCUUACCCCUUCUUCUCACUCAGGAAAGAGUAUCAGCUGGCCACCAGCAAGAGUGAGAUGAUUCCCCAAAGGAGCACAUGAAAAGCUGUGAUCCAAUCCCCCAAAGAAGACCUACAAAUGGCCAAGAAGCACAUGAAAAGACAUUCAACAUCAUUAGUUGUUAGGGAAAUUCAAAUAAAAACUCCAGUGAGAUACCACUUUAUACCUACUAAGAUGGCUGUAAUUUAAAAAUUGGAAAAUAACGAGUAUUGACAAGGAAGAUGGAAAAAUUGGAAACUUUAUACACUGCUGGUGGAAAGGUGAAAUGGUUCAGCUACUGUGGAGAAGAGAUUGGGAAUUCCCCAAAAUUUAAGCAUGGAAUCAUAAUAUAACCCAGCAAUUCCACUGUUAAGUAUACAAGCAAAAUAACUGAAAACAUACUCAAAUCCUUGCACCCAAAUGUCAUAAAAGCACUAUUCAUAAUAGCCAAAAGGAGGAAACAAGCCAAAUGUCAGUGGAAGAAUGGGUAAACAAAUGGUGGUGUGUUCAUACAAUGGAAUAUUAUUCACUAAUUAAAAAUGAAGGACUAAUACAUGCUACAACAUGGAUGAACCCCAAAACAUUAUGCUAAGUGAAAGAAGCCAAAUGCAAAAGAUCACAUAUUACGUGAUUUCAUUUGUAUGAAAUAUAAAAAAUAGGCAAAUCCAUAGAGACAGAAGGCAGUUUAUUGGUUGCCACCAGCUGAAGGAGUAGAGAUGGGGGGAACAGGUAGGGAUGAAAAUGUUUUGGAACUAGAGAUGAAGGCUGCACAACACUGAAAAUGUACUAAAUGCCACUGAAUUGUCAUUCAUGAAAAUGGCUAGUUUUAUGUUACGUGAAUUUCACCUCAAUUAAACAAAAUAAAUCAAGAUAACCAAAGGUCCAAUAAAUAUAUGAAAAGAAAAUCAACUUAAUAACCAGGAAAAUAUAAAUUAAAAUGACAGUAAGAUUCUAAUGUGUAUCCCUUAAAAAGGCUGAAAUUAAGCCCAGUGGCAAGACCAAAUGCUGGUGAGAAUGGAAGAAACAGACCUCAUACCAGGUUGGUGGCUGUGAACACACACAACUGUAGUGGACAACAUGCUGGCAUUGUUCAUUUGGAGGACUCGUGUACCCUGUCAGUCAGCACUCCACUCCUAGAUGUAGAACCUACAGGAAUGCAUGCACAUGUGCACCAAGAGACAUGUGUAAGAAGGUUCAGAGACAUGCUACUAUGAUAUUAACCCAAAACAGAAACCACCCAAGUGUCAUUGGAAGUAAAUGGAUAAAUAAUGUAUAGUAAAUGAAUUCAGUGGAAUUUUAUACAGCAAUAAAGAUGAAUUAACUAUAGUCAUAUGCAACAGCAAAAAUGAAUCUCAAAACUUCACAUUUAGUGAAAGAAGGUAGAUACCAAAGAAGACAUCCUGUAUGUAUCAAGUUCAAAAUCAAGAAAAGUAGAACUUGGAGUUCCUGCUGUGGUUCAGUGGAAAUGAAUCUGACUAAUACCCAUGAGGAUGCAGGUUUGAUCCCUGGCCUCACUCAGUGGCUUAAGGGUCCCGUGUUCCUGUGGGGUAGGCUGGCAGCUCCGGCUCCGAUUUGACCUCUAGCCUGGGAACCUCCAUAUGCCGUGGGUGUGGCCUAAAAAGAAAAAAGAAAAAAAAAGUGGAACUUUAGAACUUGGGAAUAUAUGCUUAGGUACUUAAGUUAUGUUAUUUAUUAAAAGUAAGGAAGCCAUCACCAUAAAAAUUAAUGUGAUAGUUACCUCUGAGGGGAUGGAGGGCUAUCCUAUUUCUUGAUCUGGUUACAUGAAUGUUAGCUUCAUGAGAAAUCACUGGACUGUAUUCUUGUGUGCUCUUUCUUUCUUUCUUUUCAGGGCCACACUUGCAGCAUACAGAAGUUCCCAGGCUAGGGGUCAAGUCAGAGCUGUAGCUGCUGGCCUAGGCCACAGCCACAGCAAUGUGGGAUCCAAGCCACACCUAUGAACUACGUUAUGCUUGCAGCAACGCCGGAUCCUUAACCCACAGAGCAAGGCAGGAAUUGAACCUGCAUCCUCAAGUAUACUAGUCAGGUUCUUAACCCACUGAGCUACAGUGGGAACUUUUCUAAAUGGAUGUUAUGUUUCAUAAUAAAGGAUUUAAAAAAAUAAUUUGCACACAUCAGCAAUUUGUUAUCAGGAAUAAACUAUUCGUGACACAACCGCCCCUAUCCCCACAAAAACCUUCUUAUCCUCUAAAAUAGCAGGCAUUCCAAUGACACUGUAACAUUACUAGUUCAGCCAUCAUCCAUUAGGGGCACAAGGAUCAAUCUGGGAGACAAGAGUCCCAUUGACAAAGGCCUCGUUAAAAGGGUGGGCCACACAAUACCCAGGAGCCAAGAAGCUUUAGGAUUUGAGGCCUGGUUUCCUCAUCUGAAGCACAGUCCCCAGCUCCUGGAGUAAUUGUGAGGAUUGGAUGAAUCAAGUAUGAAUGUGUCACCAAACAUAUGAAGUAGUUUACAAGUGUUAGCCUUACUAAUAAACUGCAUGCAAGAUUUCGUUUGCACGAGGAUAUUUCACAUGUCUAGGAAGAUUCUCUUCGGGUCCCAGAGGGACACUGUCUACCCAUCAAUCACCCAUCAGUUACAAACGGCCCUCUCCAGACCCUUUUCAGCUCCUGAGGGUUUCAGGUACGCCUUUUUACAUUAUGGAUAGGCACAGGACUUCCUCUAUGUUCAAAAAAUAGCUCUGAACCUGGCAUCAGGAUCCAGCCUACAAAUGCAGAAGAAGAAAGAAACACCAAAGUUUCUUUCCCCAGAACUUUCUUCCUUUGGGGGCUGGGGGUUGCAGCAAAGUUCACAAAAGACCACAGAACCCGAAGCUGCCCUCUGCUGCUAAGUUGGCCCUACUCUAUAUCAUAUGCAAAACUGCAAUGUUCCAACAUGGGCCAAGGGGCUGAGAAGCCAAAACUGGGCUCCAGCUGCCCUUUGAUCUGCAAGAAAUGCCAGGCUGGACGCGCUGGCAGGAAAAGCUGUCAUUGUGUUUAAGUCUUACUGCCAAGGAGACAAUGGUUUGGACUGUCCCAGGCUUCCUCCAGUACACAAAGAGUUAACCAUGGCCACCCAGGUAAUCCUCAGUUUCCUUCAGAGAGACAGAGGUUGUUCCCUCCUCUCCCCACAUGCUUAUUCUAUUGAGACUGUGUAAUAAACUCCUAGAUCCAAAAGCGGUCAGAGACUAUUUGCAAAGCAUAGUUCUUCUGCAAAACUGCAUGGAAAAAGGGCUGAGCGGGGAAGGACUGGAACCUAGAGAUCUGAGCCCAAGUCCUGCCUUUUGCACAGGCCAAUCCUCAGCCUCUCUCACCCUCAGUGUCCUCUUCUGUAAAAAUGCCUGCUUUGCUUUCCAACCCAGCUACUGCAAGCAUCAACCUGUAGUUGGGAUCACUUCUUUUGUGCCCAGUAUGUGCCAUGGUGUGGAAAGCAUAUUAUUUCUAAUAUCUCUUUUAAUCUUCACAGCAUCCCUAGGAGGAAAGGUGGUCUAAGUAUUCCCCCUUUCCAGAUGGGGGAACAGAAGCACAAGUGGUGAAAUUCAUUGCCCAAUGGCACCAAAGGGGCCACAAUUCAAGCCCACGCAGCCUGACACACCUUAAGACAAAACUAUGUUAAACAGGUUCUAAUGGUCAUAGAACAGUCUCUGAGUUCUGAUGGGGAAAGUCAGCCCCGGGGAAUAGAAGGUACCAGAUCCCCUGGUUCCCAGUCCAUAGCUCUUCCCGUCACCCGUGGAGCCACUGCCCACGAUGGAUGGAACCCUCCAGGUAACUCAGGACUAAGUUAGGUGUCAGGGCAAUUCAGUUCCGUUAUUUCUUGGGCGGCAAAGCGCCAGGUGUCUCUGCUAGCGGUCGUGCUUCCGCACCUGUGUACAGAGAGAGCACCAGAUCUGCUCUUACAAUGAGCCAGCCGGCACCCACGACCUGAGCGCGGGCGCUGGAGGAGCUGGAGCUAGCUGUUCCCACGGGGCUGCUGGCGCUGGCACAGUGCUUCCAAAGUCCCUCUCUGCCCAGGAAUGGAGAGACCGCGCCUAGUUCACACAUCUCGGUGCCUGGGCAGCGCUCCACCGGCUCCAGUCACCUAGAGACUCUCAUUCGCCUCCUCGAACCCUCUGCACCAUCAGGGGAAGCCGCGGCAGCACAGCCACUUACCUGUUGCGGAGCGGGUCCGGGUGACAGCGGGGAGAAGCGCGGAGAUGGAAAGCAGCAACAGCAAGCGCCAGCACUGAGCGUCCCUCCUGCAAAAGUGGCCGAGGGGAAGAAAGUGAGGCCGCGGGAGAGGGCGGGGGUGGGUAGGGGGGCGCGGGGCAGCGAGUCCUACCCUGACGCCAUCUCUCAGGUCCGCGAGCCCUCGAGGGCACUGGGCCGCCAAGCUCCGCAGAGCGCAAUCGGGCACUGCACGAGGGCCGCUCGCCCUUCCUGCCGGGAACAAAGGCGGCGCUGGGCAGGGGCAGCGGCAGCAGCGGGCAGGAUCCCGGCCCGGCCCGCGCCCUGAGU
rnacentral:lncRNA from 1 species